rnacentral:lncRNA from 1 species
CCGAUGAAUAAUUUGGUUGCAAAUAAAAUUGGGGUAUUGUAAAUAAUUGUAAGGCUACUCAAGGGUCCACCGUGUGUGACCGGACACAGUAAAAUCAUUUGGUUGCAGUUACUGCCUCCCUUACAUUAUAGAAGACCCGCUUUCGCCAAAGAAGUAUAGUUACUAUUGUGAUGCAUAGCCUAAUUGCCAUGGUAAUUUUGAAUGUUUAGUCAAUUAGCAUUAUGGGUAAUGUAGAGGUUCUACAGUUUCCAAAUUGUCCUACAAAUGCGUAGGCCUACAUCAUAUGCAUUGUGACAGAACAGUAUCCCAUGGAAUACUGAAACAUUCCCAACACAAAAACACAGCGGAAAUAAAGUGGCCAAUGGCAGGACGUGCUUAUUUUGAGUUUAAAUUAGGGAAAUCUGAAAAUUGUAGGAGAUUCCCCAACAGUCUAUCUUCAUGGAUGUUACACCUGGAUGUGUGCACGUCUGCAGAUGGGCUCAGCUACAUACGUGGAAGACACAAGCCAUAAUCACUUUCGCUAUUUUCUGUGGCUUAUAGGGCGCUCGAACGCACUCCAGGGGUCCAACCCGCACUCCUCAGUUAGAGCACGUUCACCUGCCGUUUCAAGAAGAUGCACGUUAUGUUUGAGGGACGCACAACACUUCAAGAUAGAAAACAGCAUGUGGGAGUCCGUCAUUACACAACUUGCAUCUACUUGAGACUGCAGGUGAACACGCUCUAACUUGAGGUGUGCGGGUCGGAGCCCUGGAGUGUAUCAAUACUAAAAG